rnacentral:rRNA from 1 species
AACGAACGCUGGCGGCGCGUUUUAAGCAUGCAAGUCGAACGGUAGCAGGUAGCAAUACCUGCGAGAGUGGCGCACGGGUGAGUAAGACGUAGGUGAUCUACCUCUGGGUGGGGGAUAGUCCGUGGAAACACGGGGUAAUACCGCAUGAGGCCUUGUGGGUGGAGCCAUGAGGUGAAAGGUGCAAUUGCAUCGUCUGGGGAUGAGCCUGCGGUCCAUUAGGUAGUUGGCGGGGUAAGGGCCCACCAAGCCUACGAUGGAUAGCCGGCCUGAGAGGGUGUACGGCCACACUGGAACUGAGACACGGUCCAGACUCCUACGGGUGGCUG